AUAAGAUUAUACAAACUAGUAACCAUAGAUGAUAUAACCAUUGUCAUAAUAUGUGAAAUCUUACUUGAGAAUGCUCUGGGCACUUAGCUAUGGAAGGUAGAAUGGAAAUUACAACAAUAAAAUCCUAAUUCUAAUAGAAUACUAACUAAAAUCUAAUUAGACUAUAACAAUGCUAAACAAGCUUUAUUCAAAAUCAAAGAAAUGUCAAAGGAAUUACAAAGAAACAAUAAGAAAUCUUAAAGAAAUAUUAGAAUGCUUACAAAUAUAAGUCAAAUAUAUCUCAAUUCAAUCUUAAUUUAAUCCUAAUUAAAAUCCUAUUGGUCUUCAUUAAAACUUUAGGCCAAAAACUAACUAAAUCUUAAAUCUUAAAUAAAUAUUGAUAAAAUCUUAAACCCUAAUCAAAUCCUAAUCCUAAACCAAAUCCUAACCAAAUCCUAACCAAAUUCUAAAUCCUAAACCAAAUCUUAAUCUUAAAUCAAAUCCUAAUCCUAAAUCAAACCCUAACCAAAUCCUAAAUCCUAAACUAAAUCCUAACCAAAUCCUAAAUCCUAAACCAAACCCUG
rnacentral:lncRNA from 1 species